rnacentral:misc_RNA from 1 species
GUUUCAAGCGUCAGCAGUUAAACAGCAAAUUUCCAGACAAUUGAUAAAUUACAAAAUCCCAAACUUUAUUGUAUGACUUUAUUUGUUUAUGAAAUGGUUUCAAAUGUUACACUCAUUGUUCAACAUCACAUAAACACAAGGAAAACGAAGCUAGCCUUCCCCAUUUCAAAACACCACAGAUAAACCAAGGCCUCUUGUUAUCUCUGUUAAGAAAGCUGGAAGAGCAGGGCCAUCCACUUGCAGUCACUAGCUUACCGUGAGGCACGCACCCUCCAGACUCCACUACUUUCCCACCAGCCACUUCACAAUUGCCUUCAUUCCAUGGCUGCUCGCGCUUCUCUUCCCCUUUAAAGCACCAGCAGCAGCCACAACCCACUUCCCUUGUCCAAUUGCUGC